CCUCAUCAAGGUUUUGUCCCAAUGGGUUUUCCUUGGUGAGGUUUUUAAUGAGGAAGAUCUCAUGGCUGUCCAAGCUUAGACUUUCACAAAGCUAAGCUUGAGGGGGAGUGUUAAGAUAUGGAGAUUAAGUGAAAGGAUCAAGGGUUUACAUGAGAAGAGAGAUCAAAGGAAGAGAUGAAGUAGUUGUGUGAAGUUAAGGUGAAGUGUACGGAUAGGGCAAAGGCCGUACAACUUAGGUACUUUGGGAGGUAAGGCAAAGUUCACAUCUAUCCUAAAGUGGCCAAUGACUCUACAAGAGGAAGAGGCUUUAGGAUAUGACCGUUGGAGGAUAAGGUUGGGACGCGGCUUGAGCUGUUGCUAGCUGUAAAGGCAAAAGGAGCAUCUAGACAAAAAAACCUUUGGCAUCAAGCGUGUAACAGCUCUCAUCCGUUCAUUCAAAUGAGGCGCGCCCCUUCUUGGUUUGACUACACAUGCUUAGUCUUUAGGAUAUGCUUUCACUAUUACAAAACCCUUGUAUGCUGAUCCAUAUAAAUAUGUAAUAUCUCCAUAAUAAUAAACUAGACUGUUCGAAACCAUCUUUCUCUUUACUCAUUCACUAUGAUUCUCCAUUAGUCUCUAAUCAGUCUCUUAAUCUCUUAUUCUCCUUCUCUAAUUCUUUCUAAACUCAGAUUAUUCUUUACAUUCCUAAAAGUCAUAACUAUCACACCUAUCAACAGCACUACUUAAGCACACAGAAUCAAAGGGUUUAGAAUUCUUAGCCAUUUGAAGAUGGUAUAGCUGAUUCUUGCUGUCCCCUCUGCCAAAAACUCUCCCAGUCUUCAAAUCUUGAAACUCUACUUCAUCAGGUCUGAAUACUACUUGACAAUCAAGAUCAAUGGUAGCUUUCUUCACAGAUAACAGAUUUGAAGUGAACCGGGGCAUGUAGAAGGCAGUUGUGUCCUUCUCAAACAGUUUGAGCUUUCCCACUCCUUCUAUUGGGAUCAUAGCAUCAUUAGCUAUCAUAACACUCCCUGUUGCAGCCUUGAUCUCACUUAUAAGUCUCCUAUCACUGAUCAUAUGAUGGCUUGCUCCAGAAUCAAUCACAAUGGGUUUAGGAGCUCCGGAUUGUACACCAUGUUUCUUGCUUGCUGCUAGAGAUUGUACAUGUUCCAUGAACACUCUCCAUUCCUUCCUGGUGAUGCAAUAAUCAGCUCCACCCUCUUUCUCCUGCUCUCUUAACACCACACUUUCUUCUACUGAUUCACCCAUGUAGGCUGAGUAAGAACACUCUCCUCUCACCACUAGUUGCACAGCCUCCUUGAUCAUCUUUAAGCUCAUCUUGUCACUCAGAUAACCAGACUCACUGUCCUUCCUCCAAGCCUUUCUCCUCAUGAACCAUACUUUGGAAAGCUUUCUCAACCUUCCCUUCUUACAGUUUGUAACACCCUUCCACUGAAUUGACUUCUUGUUCUUCUCACACACAUCACAAAUGUAUUGAACAAGCUCACACAUCUCAUUCACAAGAAAGUUAAAGAUAACACCUUGUUCUCUCUUUUCUUGAAUUACCUUUGGCCUUGCUGUAAGCUCCAGCCACACUUCUUUCAGCCUUCCCACAAGCUGAUAAAGCUCAUCCUUUCCUUGUUUCCAGUCACGGAUCACUCUCUUGUCCUCACUGCCCUUCACAAGUUUGGACCUUUUCUUCAUUAGCUGCUUCAAUCCCACUCUUUCUAGUGAUUUCUUGAACAGCUUCAUCUUCAAAAAUAACCAACUCCUUUAAAGGUUCUUCCUUUAUCUGACCAGAUCCAUUCGUUUUCUCUCCCUUUCUUCACUUGAUAACUUGAUCUUGUCUUCAUCUCUCUGCUAAAGUCGUUUGAUUCCAUCAGAUGUCCUCAAUCAAACCCACCAGAUGAAGAACAGAGAUCAAAACCACCAAGUACACUCAAGAACACCAAGAACAGCUCAAGAACACAAACCCAGAUUUUUAAAAACAAGAAUAACACACUCCCACCCUUUUAGUAACCUGGCUCUGAUACCAUAUACACUUUUGUGUAUUAGAGUGUGUAUAAACAAGUUUAAGAACAAUCAGACUGUUUUGUGUAAGAUUAAAGAGAUUAAGAGAAUAAGUAGAAAGAGAAUAGAGAGAAUACUCAAAACUCCAUUAAUUAAUUUAAUGUCUCAGAUACAAGUUAUAUAUGAAGAGAUAAGGCUAAUACAAAGAAGAUUUCGAAAUCCAUAAGCAUGUGAAGUCAAUGGAUAGGCUGUAAAGGUGCUUCACAUGCUUGGACAGGCUGUAAAGGUGCUUUACCUUUCCAGCUAUGCUAGACCUUAUCCAAACUACUCCUUCCUCAUCCAGACUUCCUCUUGGGCGUGCUCCACUCUCCAAAGGGAUGCAAAGUAACUUCCCAUGCUUUUAACUUAGUUACCACAGUCAAUCCAAAGUUACUGUGGUAAAACUCCAAAGUUACUUUCUGCCCCAAUACUCUUCUUCUAUCAAUGUAUCCACUCUUUAUCACCUCAUCUCAACAACUGGAAUCACCUGAUUUGAAAGUGGGAUAACUUCUUCAUCCCAACUCCUAUGAGAUGUUGAGAUGAAGACCAAGAAGUGAAGAGAUGGAGCUUUGGGGAUAAUAGAGUGUUGAGGCUGAGACAGUAACUUGGAGUUUUACCAUGGUAACUUUUAUUUUACCACAGUAACUUUGGAGUGGUAAGAUAAAAGCAUGGGAAGUUACCUUGAACCUAUUUGGAGAAGGGAUCACGUCCAAAGGGGAGCAAGGAGUGGUGUGGAUAAGGUUUGGUCAUAGCUGGAAAGGUGAAGCCACUUUACAGCCAGUCCAAGCAUGUGAAGCAUCUCAGCCUCUUAUCUGUAUUGACCUCACAUGCUUAUAGGUCUGAGUUGAAUUCAUUGAACCUAGACAUGAUUGUAAUCUCUUUAUAUCUUGUAAACAUUGAGAUGAAUUAAUUAAUGGAGUUUUGAGUCUCUCUCUCUAAAAUCUCUCUAUUCUCUCUAAAUUUUACUCUAAUCUUCUCUGAUUAUUAUUAAACACACUCUAAAACACAAAAGUGUUUAUGGUAUCAGAGCCAGGUUGCUCAAAAGGGGGUGAGUGUGUGAUUUCUUUUUCGAAAAUCUGGGUUCUUUCUUGAGUGUUCUUAGUGUUCUUGGUUUUCUUGAGUGUUCGUGGUGAAUCUGGGUUAUGUUCUUCAGUCACUAGGCAUGGAGAUGAAGCACAGAUCUAGUAUUCCAUUGAAGCUUGAAGAGGAAACUGGUGGGAGUUGGUCAAGAUGGGCGAAGGCUGUGUUGAGGAGCUGUGUGUUGUGGAGUAGUCAUAAAAAGGGGAAGCCUUUAAGAGACAUGGCUUCAGAAGCAGGUCAGGCGUGGAGUCUGAAGUAUGAAGAUAGAGUUGUUCAAGAAAACCAUACAAGAUGUGGGAUUGAAGCAGCUCAUGGGAGUAGAUCCGAUCUGAAGAAGGUUUGUGGAGUCAAGAGCUAACACAGACCUGAGGGCAAGCUGAAAUACUUGUGGAGAGAGUUGGAUUUGUUGAGAUCAAGAACAUCAGAUCCGGAGGUGAUUCAAGAAAGGCUGGAGCAAGAUGUAGUCUUGAGCCUUCUAGUGAGUUUAAACUCAUCAUAUGGUCAGCUGAUUAUGCAAGUAGCCAAAGAUGAUGAGCGAGUAGAUGUGGAUGGGUUGUGUGAGCUUGUUCAGUCUUCAUAUAAAGUAUAUGAGAAGGGCAAGAGACUGAUAAGAAUCAGAGAUGGUACAAGGUGUAAGAAGGGAAGAUUGAGGAGACUGUCCAGGACUUGGGUCAUGGUGAGAAAGACUCAGAGGAAGAGUAGACAGUGUGGAUACUUUGAGAAUGAUAUGGAGACAAGCCUGAUAAAGAGUUUGCGCAGCAUGUGGUUAGAGGAGAGUGUUCCUACUCAGCCUAUAUGGAUAGUUCAGUAGAAGAAAGUGUGGUUAUGAAGGGGCAAGGAAGCAAAGGAGCAGAUGAUCCUAUCACAAAGAAAGAAUGGGAUGGGUUUGUCAAGUAUGUGUAUGCUUUGGCUACGACCCGGAGACAAGGUGCUCCUGCCUUAGCAUCCACAUCCAAACCCAUCAUCAUUGAUUCUGGAGCAACACAUCAUCUGAUCAGUGAUAGAAGUCUGAUAAAUGAAGUCAAGGCUGCAACAGGGAGUGUCAUGAUAGCUAAUGGUGCUAGGAUCCCAAUAGAAGGAGUGGGAAACCUCAAGCUGUUUGAGAAGAACUCACCUGCAUUCUAUCUGCCUCAGUUCACUUCAAAUCUGAUAUCAGUGAAGAAGGCCACAGUUGAUCUUGAUUGUCAAGUAGUAUUCAGGCCAAAUGAAGUUGAGUUUCAAGAUUUGAAGACUGGGAGAGUUAUUGGUAGAGGGGACAGCAAGAAUCAGUUAUAUCAUCUCCAAACAGCUAAGACCUCUAACCCUAUUGAUUUUGUAUGCCUUUGUAGUACUGCUGAUAGGUGUGACAGUAUUACUUGGCAUGCUAGAUUAGGACAUCCUCAUGCUCGUGCAAUUGAAUUGAUUAUGCCUAAUAUGUCAUUCAAUCACUUGGAAUGUGAAGCUUGCAUCUUAGGGAAGCAUUGUAGAACUGUUUUUCCCACAUCAGAGACCAUAUAUGCAAAUUGCUUUGAUCUUGUUCAUUCUGAUGUGUGGACAGCCCCUUGUAUGUCUAGAGAAAACCAGAAGUACUUUGUGACAUUCAUAGAUGAUAAGUCUAAGUAUACAUGGAUCACAUUGCUGCCAUCUAAGGAUAGAGUUUUUGAGGCUUUUGUCAACUUCCAAGCAUAUGUAACUAACCAUUACAAUGCUACUGUGAAGGUACUACGGUCUGAUAAUGGAGGAGAAUACACCAGUCAUGCCUUCAAGAAUCACUUGGCUAAACAUGGGAUAGUGCAUCAGACCAGUUGUCCUUACACACCACAUCAGACCUGUUGGCUAAACAACUAGAAUCACCUGAUUUGAAAGUGGGAUAACUUCUUUUUGCCAACUCCUAUGAGAUUUAUUCAACUUCCUGGUGAUUCUCCACCACUUUAUGUAUCCAAAUCAAGCUUCUCACAAAGUGAUUCAUCCGAUUUUGAUUGGAACGACGAUGAAGCUGUGCUAUUCUCAAACUGGGAAACUGGAAUCACCUGAUUUGUAUGAGAUUUAGGAAUGUAAAGAAUAAUCUGAGUUUAGAAAGGAUUAGAGAAGGAGAAUAAGAGAUUAAGAGACUGAUUAGAGACUAAUGGAGAAUCAUAGUGAAAUGAGUAAAGAGAAAGAUUGUUUAGAACUGUCUAAAUCUUAUUAAGGAUGAGCUUACAAUAUAUAUAGGUCCAUACACUUAGGGUUUUCGAAAUCAUAAAGGUUAAGCAAGCAUGUAGAGUCAAAGGAGGAGCUGAUGCUUUAAUUUGAACCGGCCAAUGCUAAUCUUCACACGUUUGGAGCAUCUUCUUGAUCCAAGACUAGAUGCUCUUACUUUCCAGCUCUUGCCAGCCUGUCCUAGCUGUCAAGACGCGCUUCCCUUAUCCUUUCCAACGUUCGGAUAAGGUCUUGGUCGAGUGUAACUUCAACCCGGUACAUGAAGUUACUCGGAGAGUUACUUCAGCUCCUUUUACCUUGUACGGUCAAUGGUACGGCCUCUCCGUCCGUACCAUCCCUAUUAACCCACUCCUUCUCUUAACUCCUUUGCUCCCUUCAUGUCCCUAACUCCUUUGUGUCUUUACCUCAAUUCUCAUGUGUCUCAGCUCAUCUUAACAAUUUGAAAGUAGGAUAACUUCUUCAUCCCAAGUCCUAUAAGAUUUAUUCAACUUCCUGGUGAUUCUCCACCACUUUAUGUAUCCAAAUCAAGCUUCUCACAAAGUGAUUCAUCCGAUUUUGAUUGGAACGACGAUGAAGCUGUGCUAUUCUCAAACUGGGAAACUGGAAUCACCUGAUUUGUAUGAGAUUUAGGAAUGUAAAGAAUAAUCUGAGUUUAGAAAGGAUUAGAGAAGGAGAAUAAGAGAUUAAGAGACUGAUUAGAGACUAAUGGAGAAUCAUAGUGAAAUGAGUAAAGAGAAAGAUUGUUUAGAACUGUCUAAAUCUUAUUAAGGAUGAGCUUACAAUAUAUAUAGGUCCAUACACUUAGGGUUUUCGAAAUCAUAAAGGUUAAGGAUGAGCUUACAAUAUAUAUAGGUCCAUACACUUAGGGUUUUCGAAAUCAUAAAGGUUAAGGAAGCAUGUAGAGUCAAAGGAGGAGCUGAUGCUUUAAUUUGAACCGGCCAAUGCUAAUCUUCACACGUUUGGAGCAUCUUCUUGAUCCAAGACUAGAUGCUCUUACUUUCCAGCUCUUGCCAGCCUGUCCUAGCUGUCAAGACGCGCUUCCCUUAUCCUUUCCAACGUUCGGAUAAGGUCUUGGUCGAGUGUAACUUCAACCCGGUACAUGAAGUUACUCGGAGAGUUACUUCAGCUCCUUUUACCUUGUACGGUCAAUGGUACGGCCUCUCCGUCCGUACCAUCCCUAUUAACCCACUCCUUCUCUUAACUCCUUUGCUCCCUUCAUGUCCCUAACUCCUUUGUGUCUUUACCUCAAUUCUCAUGUGUCUCAGCUCAUCUUAACACUCCCCCUGAAGCUUAGCUUUGUGAAAGCCUAAGCUUGGAUAGCCAUGAGAUCUUCCUCAUUAAAAACCUCACCAAGGAAAACCCAUUGGGAUAAAACCUUGAUGAGGGAAAAAGAGUAAAGACCUCACAGCCAAAGGGGAUCAGCUCCUUCUCUUCCCAAGAUCAAUGAGGCCCAACCUGAUGUGAAUGGACUCCAUUGCCUUUUGUCUCGCAGCCUUAGUGAAAACAUCAGCCAAAUGAUCUUCACUUCUUGUGUAGCAUGGCAAGAUGACUCCUAAGAUGAUAAUCUGCCUCACCUUGUGGCAAUCAACUUCAAUGUGCUUGGUUCUUUCAUGGAACACCGAGUUGGAGGCAAUGUGGAUGGCAGCUUGGUUAUCACAAUGCAUUGUCAUUGGCCUGGCUUGAUCAAUCUCUAAAUGCUUCAAGAUGCCUUUGAUCCACACCAGCUCGUUGAUCAGCUUUAGCAUAGCUCUAUACUCAGCUUCUGCACUUGAACAAGACACCACCUUCUGCUUCUUGCUCUUCCAAGUAACCAAGUUGCCUCCAAUGAAUGUGCAAUAGCCUGUGGUUGAUCUCCUGUCUGCUCUAUCACCAGCCCAAUCUGCAUCACAGUAUCCAACCACUUCAGUGCUCCCAUUGCAACCCAUCCAUACUCCUUGAUCAGGUGAGCCGUUGAUAUACAUCAAGAUUCUCUCCACCAUGCGCCAGUGAUGCUCCUUAGGCACUUGCAUGUGUUGACUCACCUGAUUCACAGCAAAACAAAUGUCAGGCCUAGUUAUGGUAAGAUAAAUAAAUUUGCCAACUAGUUUUCUAUAGAGUUUAGGAUCCUGAUAAGGUUUGCUGUCUUCAAUCUCCCCCUCUCGUGGGACUUUGUAACCAUCAUCCAUAGGCAUCCUUGCUGUCUUGCCUCCAUAAGCACCUGCACCUUUCAAAAGAUCAAGUGUAUACUUCUUUUGGGACAUGAACAAACCUUCCUUGGAUCUACAUAUCUCAAACAUGGAUUUAAGGAACUCCUUGGUUGCUAUGAUACCUUCCUUAUCACUUCCUGUGAUAAUGAUAUCAUCAACAUACACAACGAGUGCAAUCAUACCUGAGGGAGUAGUGAGUGUGAAGAGAGUGUGAUCUAGUUCAGACUUCUUGAAGCCUCGGCCAUUGAGAGUAGUGCUCAGCUUGUUGUACCAAGCUCUUGGUGAUUGCUUCAGCCCAUAGAUAGCUUUCUUCAACCUCAACACAUUCCCUCUCUUCACUAAGUGUUCAAGGCCUGGAGGUGGAUGCAUAUACACUUCAUCCUCAAGUUCUCCUUGUAGAGAGGCAUUCUUCACAUCGAUUUGCCAUUACCCCCAUCCAAGAUUCACAGCCAAGCUUAAUACAAUCCGGAUUGUGUGUAGUUUAGCUGCUGGCGCAAAGGUUUCUGUGUAAUCUUCUCCAUAAGUUUGAGUGAAACCUCUUGCAACUAGCCUUGACUUCUUCCUCUCAAUCUUUCCAUCAGCCUUAUACUUGAUUGUGAAUAUCCAUCUACUAGUCACAGCCUUCUUCCCCUUUGGUAACUCACUCUCAUACCAUGUAUCAUUCUUGAUCAUAGCUCCUGCCUCAGCUCCAACUGACUCCUUCCAUUCUUUAUCCAUUAUUGCCUCUUCAUAGCUUCUUGGGAUGUAGUUCUCAUCCAAGUUAACCAUGAAGGCACAAUGUUCUUCAGGGUAUUGAGCAAAGGAACACACAGCUUGAGAAGGAUGCUCCACAGCUUGGGCAUUGUAGUACACUCGCGUGUUUACCCAAGAGGAAGGAUCCUUUCUCAGCCUUGUGCUUCUCCUCAAUACUGGUUGUUCUUGCUCUUGAACCGGCUCAGCUUGUGUAUGCGGUUCUUGUGCUUCACUCUGAUGUUCUUCAUGUCUUUGGUCUUGCUCACCUUGAUGAUGAGAACCUGAGUUGAACUCUUCUCCUUCCUCACUCAAGCCGACUCCUUCUUGGCCAUUUUCUUGAGUUUCAGGUUCACUUCUCCCCUCAUGAUCAAGGUGAGGUGUUUGAGCGGCUCUACUUGGUUCAGUUGAGCUCUCUUCUUGGCUUCCACUUCUUGUGGACUGAUCCUGGUUCAUCUUGAUACCGAGACCUUCUAAAAUGAUCCUUAAGACUCCAGCCUUAUCUGAUGUGAGAUCCUUCAAAUCUUCUUGAUUCUUCUCCUCAUAGUAUCCCCUUUCUUCAAUAAACUUCACAUCUCUGGAUACAAGCACCCUUCUAGCUUCUGGAUCAUAACACUUAUAUCCUUUUUUGAGUUGUUGAGUAGCCAAUGAACAUUGCCUUUUUGCUUCUUGCUUCUAGCUUGUUCCUCAACUCUCCUGGUACUAGAACAUAGCAUAAGCAUCCAAACACUCUCAUGUAUUCCAAGGAUGGCUUGCGCUUGUUCAAAACUUCAAAUGGUGCUUGAUCCUUCAACACCUUUGUAGGCAUCCGGUUGAUUAGAUAGCAAGCAGUGGAUACAGCAUCACUCCAGAAUCUCUUAGGUACAUUGGCUUGGAACAUCAGUGACCGAGCCACCUCCAUCAAGUGACUGUUCUUCCUCUCAGCUACACCAUUCUGUUGUGGUGUGUAGGGACAGCUUGUUUGAUGAAGGAUUCCAUGAUGAUCUAGAUGACUCUUGAACGCAUAGCUUGUGUACUCUCCUCCAUUAUCUGAUCUCAAAAUUUGAAUCUUAGCAUGAUAAUGGUUAGUCACAUAAGCUUGAAAGUUCUUAAAUGCAUCUAUCACCCUAUCUUUUGAUGCAAUUAGUGUUAACCAGGUGUAUUUAGAUUUUUCAUCAAUGAAUGUGACAAAAUACUUAUGAUUAUCUCUAGAUAAGCUAGGUGCAGUCCACACAUCAGUAUGAAUCAAAUCAAAACAAUUUUCAUAGACAGUAGAUGUUCUUGGAAACACAUUCUUACAAUGCUUGCCUAAAAUGCAAGCUUCACACUUAUUAUUUUCAAAAACCACACCUGGUAACAUCAAGUUCAAAGCCCUCUCAUGGGGAUGUCCUAAUCUAGCAUGCCACAAUGCAUUUUUAUUCAAACUAGAAGCAGAAGUAAAUGAGCAGUUAUAAUUGGAAACAGGAUCAAGCUUCUCAAGCAUGUAUAAGUCUCCCUUUGUAACUCCUUUUCCAAUCAAUUGGCUGCUCUCUGUUGAAGAGAAGUCUUGAGAGGUUAAGAAGGAGCUUAGGAGGAAUGGAGAAGGUUGGGUAAGGUGUGUCCGUACAAGGCAAGGCCGUACAAGGCCGUACUACUUGGCCGUACACACUUACCUCAGCUACGGUUAAGCCAAGAGUUACUUGAGUGACUUACCGUGAUAAGAAGAAGCACUGAUCACUCACCUGAAGGAUCAGACCGUUACCAAAGGAAGAAGGAGCGUGUGACGGCCUGUCUUGAGCUGGAAAGGAGAAGGCAUAAAGCAAAGAUGCCUCACACACGCGGUCACUCCCAUUGGA
rnacentral:lncRNA from 1 species